rnacentral:rRNA from 1 species
UACGUAGGGUGCAAGCGUUGUCCGGAAUUAUUGGGCGUAAAGAGCUUGUAGGCGGUUUGUCGCGUCUGCUGUGAAAUUUCGGGGCUCAACCCCGAACUUGCAGUGGGUACGGGCAGACUAGAGUGUGGUAGGGGAGACUGGAAUUCCUGGUGUAGCGGUGAAAUGCGCAGAUAUCAGGAGGAACACCGAUGGCGAAGGCAGGUCUCUGGGCCGAUACUGACGUGAGGAGCGAAAGCGUGGGGGAGCGAACAGG